UACGUAGGUGGCAAGCGUUGUCCGGAUUUAUUGGGUUUAAAGGGUGCGUAGGUGGUCCCAUAAGUCAGUGCUGAAAUAUCCCGGCUUAACCGGGAGGGUGGCAUUGAUACUGCGGGACUUGAGUAAAGUUGAGGUAGGCGGAAUUGACGGUGUAGCGGUGAAAUGCUUAGAUAUCGUCAAGAACACCUAUUGCGAAGGCAGCUUACUAAGCUUUAACUGACACUGAGGCACGAAAGUGUGGGGAUCAAACAGG
rnacentral:rRNA from 1 species